rnacentral:rRNA from 1 species
CCUACGGGUGGCUGCAGUGGGGAAUAUUGGACAAUGGGCGAAAGCCUGAUCCAGCCAUGCCGCGUGUGUGAAGAAGGCCUUCGGGUUGUAAAGCACUUUCAGUGGGGAAGAAAGCCUUGGGGCUAAUACCCUCGAGGAAGGACAUCACCCACAGAAGAAGCACCGGCUAAUUCCGUGCCAGCAGCCGCGGUAAUACGGAGGGUGCGAGCGUUAAUCGGAAUUACUGGGCGUAAAGCGCGCGUAGGCGGUCUGAUAAGCCGGUUGUGAAAGCCCCGGGCUCAACCUGGGAACGGCAUCCGGAACUGUCAGGCUAGAGUGCAGGAGAGGAAGGUAGAAUUCCCGGUGUAGCGGUGAAAUGCGUAGAGAUCGGGAGGAAUACCAGUGGCGAAGGCGGCCUUCUGGACUGACACUGACGCUGAGGUGCGAAAGCGUGGGUAGCAAACAGGAUUAGAUACCCGUGUAGUC